UACGGAGGAUGCAAGCGUUAUCCGGAUUUAUUGGGCGUAAAGCGUCCGCAGGUGGUUUUUCAAGUCUGCUGUUAAAGCGCAGAGCUUAACUCUGUAACGGCGGUGGAAACUGAGAGACUAGAGUAUGGUAGGGGUUGCGGGAAUUCCCAGUGUAGCGGUGAAAUGCGUAGAUAUUGGGAAGAACACCAGCGGCGAAAGCGCGCAACUGGGCCAUUACUGACACUCAUGGACGAAAGCUAGGGGAGCGAAAGGG
rnacentral:rRNA from 1 species